rnacentral:lncRNA from 1 species
GGGACUAGAUGGUGUUGGGGAAGGCCCAAGAAAGGAAGGAGGAAGAGAAGAGGGAGGAAGAGGAGUAGGAGGGAGAGCUUAGAUCUUUGCCAAGAACAAAAGAAGAGAGGAGUGGUGGAGGAGGAAGGGAAUGGCAUGUAGCAGCGAGAAGACAAGUGGUGGAGAGAUAGGUGAAAGAAAAAUAAUGGGGAUAGCAUACGGUGACUGAGAGGCAAGCGACAGAUUCAAGCAGUAGAGUGGUGGACGGAGAGGAGGAGAAAGAAAAAGAAGCAUACCCAUAUGAUAGAGAG